rnacentral:rRNA from 1 species
UACGGGGGGGUGCGAGCGUUGUCCGGAAUCACUGGGCGUAAAGGGCGCGUAGGUGGUUUGAUAAGGGUGUGGUGAAAGUCCGGGGGCUCAACCCCCGGAUCUGCCGUGCCGACUGUCAAACUCGAGGACUGUAGAGGCAGACGGAAUUCCGGGUGUAGCGGUGGAAUGCGUAGAGAUCCGGAGGAAGACCGGUGGCGAAGGCGGUCUGCUGGGCAGUUUCUGACACUGAGGCGCGACAGCGUGGGGAG